GUGAACUUAUCGGAAAGAACUUGUGUGAAAGUCACGAGGAUUAAGUGGGAGAUCAUGGAUUAGAUCGAAUCGUGUCUUUUGGCCGAAACCUGCAUGCUUCAUUAUUACUUAUUAAAGUCAGGGAGCGAUGCAGCUUCGCUUAGGUUUGAACAAUAUGCAGUUCAGCGUCAGGUACUAUGGUGUCCACCGCGGGCCUCAUUAGUCGCAAAUAAUUGAUCGUUACGCGUUGUUACGUCAAGAUUGUUCGAGUUGGGCCUGCUCCUGCUUUUGUUGUUGUUAUAGUUAAAAAAAAAAUUUCAGUUCUUUCGAAACGUGACUAUUGGCCUAGCUGCUGAUGGCUGACGCCUUCUGCGUUUAACUUACAUGGAAGGCAAGCAACAAAGAAAAGUAAGCAAGUCAUAGUGUGCAAGACAAUGGAGCUAUGGAAGCUAGUCAUCAAUGGCAGUCAACGAUACGCGCCCUGCCCGAAAAGCUUCAUCUGGGAGACAAAAGACCUAACAGCAGCUGACUUCUUCUUAGAUUCAGCUUAUCAAGAUCUUCGAUAAGUUACUUGACAACUUUGCCGACGACCAAGAGCGGCCAAAGGGGCGGACAGCAAUGAAAAGGAACGCUUGUCGUGGAAUCUCGUAAUCCAAAAGCGGCGGUAGGUAACGGUUGAAAUCGCUGGCUAACCAGCAGUUCAGAAGCGCGGUGGCCAUAUGCACUGAGUAAUAGAGGCGAAUUGGACAUUUCACGGCGGAAUCGUAAAGGAUGCGGAAUAGGUAGCAGUUAACUUCUGCGGAACUUACAAGGAUCCGUCGAAACAGACCGAGACGCUGCCAGUGGAUGUUUAGCACCAUAUGAGCUAUCGCGGUAUCGUGACUACCGUUCGCCGUAUCGCUUCAGCUUAUGUUUAAUAAUCAUCAAACUAGAUAAUUCAAAGCACAAGGCUAUCCGCUAUUGGUCAGCAACCUUAAACGGUAUGUAAACGCGCACAUAAACCUAUAAUUUGUGAGAAUGAGCAAUUUUAUUAAUGUGCUCCAAGCAGCGAAUAGCCAGUUUGUUCGAUCCGUCAUCGACCACUCGCAACGCUAACAAAUGUAACUGGUAGAAACUUGAAAGAACUAGCAGUUAUCCAGAUUAAAGGAGUCAUCCAUUUAUGACAAUCACGCAG